AGCUCCAAUAGCGUAUAAUAAAGUUGUUGCAGUUAAAAAUCUCGUAGUUGGAUUUCUGGCAGGAGCGACCCGGCACACACUCUGUGUGUGAACUUGUGUCGUCUAUGGCCAUCCUUGGGAAGAUCCUGUUUGGCAUUAAGUUGUUGGGCAGGGGAUAUCCAUCGUUUACUGUGAAAAAUUAGAGGGUUUAAAGCAGGAUUAUGCCGUUGAAUAUAUUAGCAUGGAAAAAUAAGAUAGGACUUCAGAACUAUGUUGUUGGUUUGCGUUACAAAGUAAUGAUUAAUAGGGACAGUUGGGGGUAUCCAAAUAUUGUUGUCAGAGGUGAAAUUCUUGAAUUUCCAAAAGAAAAACUACUGCAAAAGCAUUUACCAAGGAUAUUUUCA
rnacentral:rRNA from 1 species